AUAAAUUUGGCCAUUAUGUGGUCAGGGCCAACCGUUGCCUGAAAAAGAGGU
rnacentral:ncRNA from 1 species